rnacentral:lncRNA from 1 species
UUCCUCUCUUUCCCAUCUGGUAGGGAGUGCAGUGAAUAAUACAUUAUGUAAUGUGCCAAAUACAAUGCUCAGAAAAUGGGAACUCAGUAUCUGGAAGGUGCCUCUUUUGGUAGCUGUUCCACACUGUAGACUAUGGACAAGAAAAGAAGCAAUUUACAAAAAGGAAACUCUUCCAGCAAGGCUAAACUAGAUGAACACACUGCUUUAAAGCAAAAAUGCUAGGCACUGGUAGUAUGUUAAUAUUGCUAAAAAACAGGAUAUCAUCCCCAUUCUUUAAGUAUGCCCACAGCCUUGGACCUGGGGACUUGACCUAACGACACAGCAUCUCAUCUCAGCCUGACACCCCAGAGUCACUGAUGUGAAUGGCUUGCCUUGUUGGAUGGUUGAAGAACUUCUCUUGGGCAUUUUUGCGCUAUGAAGCAAACAGCCACCAUCAGAUCACCAGUUCGCUGCUUCAGCUCCAACUGCCAUAUAUCUGUCAUAAAUACUGCUGGAAUUUUUGAAUUAUUCCCAGAUGAUAUUCAGCAUUUGUAAGAGUAACUGCAUGCUUCUUUAAAGCACUGUACUUUUGUUCUCUCAAAGGUGACAGUUUCUCAAAGGAAAACAUAUUACAGAUUGUUCAGUGUCUGUACAAAUGAGGAGAAGAAAUGGGUUUUGGGUGACUGUAAAAUUAGUUUUGCUUCUGAAGCCAAGUAAAAUAUAAAUCAGAAGGACCUGAGUUUCUUCGGGAAUGACUAAAUAUCUUACUCAGUUUCUACACAAAGAUAUGAGAGAAGUGGACAAAUUAAAGGAACAUUAAAAUCAAACGCAUGGACCAGAUAUACCGAGCUUGAAUGCAAUACUGAUUUUACCUAAGCCUUGCUUUAGACUACAAUCAGACCUUCUGUCUCUAUAAAUGACUUAGACAAAAAGUGCAUAUGUGUAUCUCAUCGCAGGGCACUUUUGAGAAUAAACCACUUGGCAUUAUGUUCA